CUGUGUACAGAAGGUUCUCUGAUGAAGCACACAGCAGAUGCUGCACUACAACAGCAGCAGCAGCUCAGCUUCAGUUUGCUUCGACGCCCUUUUUGACCUGUGAAACAGCAGAAAAUGAAACAUUUCAACACCCGUUUGUUAGCGUGAGCUAUUCUGCUGUUUUUCAUCAUUUCACAGGUGAAAUAAAAUCACAUUUACUUCCUGUAGGAGUGAUCGUGUCCAGCCUGACUGAGACCAUGUGCUCCAUCCUGCACAGAAAAUGUCACAUGUUCAAAGCCAUCCCAGCACCUGGGGUUUGUAUAAGUGCAGCUGCUGGUGGGGAGAUAGUCUCACUCUUCUAUAUAAAGAGUCAGCAGGCAGCAGAUCUUCAUCUGUGAUCUCCUCCAUCAUCACGUCUUCACUCUUCAGCAGCUAUGGCUUCACUUCGUGCCCUUCUGGGAGUGGUGCUGUGCUCCUCAUGGUUUCUGCUUCUGCCUCAGGCCGACUUUGAUUUACAGAGUCAUCCAUAAUAUUUUUUAUUUUUUAUUUUACUGCCCAUCUAUUUUCAUACAAAUGUCUCCGUCUUAUGGAAAAGGGGUGGAGCUUAUCCAACGAGGACAGGCAGGGCCCCCCAGACAGUUUAGCAGUCUAUACAGGAGGCUGACCUUUGCAACAUGUACUUCUAUAAUGACUUCACCAUUUAGGUUAUUUGGUUAUGUUUCACCCUGGAUUUUGUGUGAUAAUAUUUAUUUUGUCCACUGAUUUAAAAACAACAA